CCUACGGGAUGCAGCAGUGAGGAAUAUUGGUCAAUGGACGCAAGUCUGAACCAGCCAUGCCGCGUGAAGGAAGACGGUUCUAUGAGUUGUAAACUUCUUUUGUACGAGGGUAAACUCAGAUACGCGUAUCUGUCUGCACGUACCUUACGAAUAAGGAUCGGCUAACUCCGUGCCAGCAGCCGCGGUAAUACGGGGGAUUCAAGCGUUAUCCGGAUUUAUUGGGUUUACAGGGUGCGUUGGCGGUCUGUUAAGUUAGAGGUGAAAUCCCGGGGCUCAACGUCGGAAUUGCCGUUGAUCCUGGCCGGCUGGAGAGUAGGAGAGGUAGGCGGAAUGUAUGGUGUAGCGGUGAAAUGCUUAGAGAUCAUACAGAACACCGAUUGCGAAGGCAGCAUACCAAGGUACUUCUGACGCUGAGGCACGAAAGCGUGGGGAGCAAACAGGAUUAGAUACCCCUGUAGUC
rnacentral:rRNA from 1 species